UGGGGAAUAUUGGACAAUGGGGGAAACCCUGAUCCAGCGACGCCGCGUGAGUGAAGAAGUAUUUCGGUAUGUAAAGCUCUAUCAGCAGGGAAGAAAAUGACGGUACCUGACUAAGAAACCCCGGCUAACUACGUGCCAGCAGCCGCGGUAAUACGUAGGGGGCAAGCGUUAUCCGGAUUUACUGGGUGUAAAGGGAGCGCAGACGGCGAAGCAAGUCUGAAGUGAAAUUCAUGGGCUCAACCCAUGGAUUGCUUUGGAAACUGUUUGGCUUGAGUGUCGGAGGGGUAAGCGGAAUUCCUAGUGUAGCGGUGAAAUGCGUAGAUAUUAGGAGGAACACCGGAGGCGAAGGCGGCUUACUGGACGACAACUGACGUUGAGGCUCGAAGGCGUGGGGAGCAAACAGGAUUAGAUACCCUGGUAGUCCACGCAGUAACGAUGAAUACUUGGUGUCGGGGAGGUAAACUCUUCGGUGCCGCAAGCAAACGCAUUAAGUAUUCCACCUGGGGAGUACGUUCGCAAGAAU
rnacentral:rRNA from 1 species